GCCUGGCACGGUGGCACGUGUAGUCCCAGCUACUCGGGAGGCUGAGGUAGAAGGAUCGCUUGAGCCCAGGAGUUCUGGGCCGUAGUGAGCUAUGCCGAUUGGGUGUCUGCACUAAGUUCGGCAUCAAUAUGGUGACCUCCCGGGGGCAGGGGACCACCAGGUUGCCUAAGGAGGGGUGAACCGGCCCAGGUCGGAAAAUGAGCAGGUCCAAACUCCCAUGCUGAUCAGUAGUGGGAUCACGCCUGUGAAUAGCCACUGCACUCCAGCCUGGGCAACACAGUGAGACCCUGUCUCUA
rnacentral:SRP_RNA from 1 species